CCACCCGAGACUCAGUGAAAUUGAACUCGCUGUGAAGAUGCAGUGUACCCGCGGCAAGACGGAAAGACCCCGUGAACCUUUACUAUAGCUUGACACUGAACAUUGAGCCUUGAUGUGUAGGAUAGGUGGGAGGCUUUGAAGUGUGGACGCCAGUCUGCAUGGAGCCGACCUUGAAAUACCACCCUUUAAUGUUUGAUGUUCUAACGUGGACCCGUUACCCGGGUUGCGGACAGUGUCUGGUGGGUAGUUUGACUGGGGCGGUCUCCUCCUAAAGAGUAACGGAGGAGCACGAAGGUUGGCUAAUCCUGGUCGGACAUCAGGAGGUUAGUGCAAUGGCAUAAGCCAGCUUGACUGCGAGCGUGACGGCGCGAGCAGGUGCGAAAGCAGGUCAUAGUGAUCCGGUGGUUCUGAAUGGAAGGGCCAUCGCUCAACGGAUAAAAGGUACUCCGGGGAUAACAGGCUGAUACCGCCCAAGAGUUCAUAUCGACGGCGGUGUUUGGCACCUCGAUGUCGGCUCAUCACAUCCUGGGGCUGAAGUAGGUCCCAAGGGUAUGGCUGUUCGCCAUUUAAAGUGGUACGCGAGCUGGGUUUAGAACGUCGUGAGACAGUUCGGUCCCUAUCUGCCGUGGGCGCUGGAGAACUGAGGGGGGCUGCUCCUAGUACGAGAGGACCGGAGUGGACGCAUCACUGGUGUUCGGGUUGUCAUGCCAAUGGCACUGCCCGGUAGCUAAAUGCGGAAGAGAUAAGUGCUGAAAGCAUCUAAGCACGAAACUUGCCCCGAGAUGAGUUCUCCCUGAGACUUAAAGUCUCCUGAAGGAACGUUGAAGACGACGACGUUGAUAGGCCGGGUGUGUAAGCG
rnacentral:rRNA from 1 species